GCAAAAAAUCCCCUAAACUUUGGACGUUUUUGCACUUUACCCCCUGAACGGAAAAAAGUUGCACGAGCAUACCUGGACUCUAGUUUUUGUAGCACCGACAUCAAAAUCGUCCAAUUUUAGCUAAAUUGUUCCCAGAAUUGCACACGUGCAACUCACACGUGAAAAUGGAGUGGUAAUUUUGUCAACUCACAAUAAUUUUAGUAAAAAAGAAAAUUAAAAAGAAAAAAUGAAAAAGAAAUAAAAAGGAAAAAAGAAAACAGCGGCUGUCUUUCUUCCUCUCUCCCCACAUCGGCUCCGCCGCCGCACCACCACCACCAAAUCUGCCGCCAACAUCGCCACCUAUACUACCGCCUAACCCUCCACCUUCAAUUUCUCCACUGCCACUUCCAACUCCACCAACAAUUCCUCCGCCUAUACCCCAACAACCCCUCGGGACGCCGCCGCGACCAAUUUCUUCCUUUAUACCACCACCACCACCACCAAAUCUGCCGCCAGACAGAUUUAAGAGGACGAAUGCCCUCAUGUUCAAUUAGUGAAUUUGGGAAGAUAUAAAUUUAUAAAUUAUACAUUUAAUAUUCGGGUCGAAUCCAUUACCCGAACCGCAUCCGUCAAAUUUCUUUCUCGCAACAACAGAGUUACAGAAGGGUUUAUCAAGGGUCUCAUUUUGAACGGAAAUCUCUCUCCUCUCUCUCUCUUGCUGAUCGUGGAGAUUCUGCUAAUGGCAUUGUCAAUUUCUAGGAGGGUAUUGCGAAGCAGGCAAGCGGCGGAGGGCGGCGAAUUAGAAGCGGCAGGCGGCAAAUCAGAAUCGGCGGGCGGCGGACGGCGGUGGGCUGAAGAAGGACGAAGAGUAAUUUGUUUUUUGGUGGUGGUGACGUGAAGAAGAUGAAUUUUUUUUCUUUUUCUUUUUCUUUUUCUUUUUUAAGAUUUAUUUAUAUUUAUUAAAAAAGAAGAAAAUAAGUGUAAGUGGAAAAGACCAAUUUAUCCAGCUAAAAUCAUGUGCUUCUCACGUGUUGUGGAUUCCGGCCACAUUUUGCCAAAAAUGGACAAUUUCUGUUCCGGUGCUACAAAUUAGUAAGUUGAGGUAUGCUCGUGCAACUUUUUUCCGUUCAGGGGGUAAAGUGCAAAAACGUCCAAAGUUUAGGGGAUUUUUUGCAGUUAACCCUUAUUAAUAUACACGCGUAUUUAAGGUUGAGUAUGGGUCGACUUUAUCAGUCAAUCGACCCACUUUUGCU